CCUCUCUUCAUUUGGAGCAUCCAAGGCUUUUGAAGAAGAAGGAAGAAAUCAGCCUCCAAGAUCCUUGCAAGCUAGCACUUCCAAAGAGCUUGAUCUGCGCUAGUCUUCGUAUGGACGACCUGUAGAGGCCAAAUAACUUUCUAUGGCUGCACGUAAUCUGAAGAAGAUUCUUUCCAAGUGUUAGACUAGUAGAGAUCAAGA
rnacentral:lncRNA from 1 species